GGACGAACGCUGGCGGCGUGCCUAAUACAUGCAAGUCGAACGCACUGACGGAGAACUUGUUCUCUUGACGUGAGUGGCGCACGGGUGAGUAACACGUGGGAAACCUACCCUUCAGCGGGGGAUAACCAUCGGAAACGAUGACUAAUACCGCAUAGACGACAGAACCGCCUGGUUCAAUCGGGAAAGACGGCUUCGGCUGUCACUGAAGGAUGGUCCCGCGCUGCAUUAGCUAGUUGGUAAGGUAACGGCUUACCAAGGCGAUGAUGCAUAGCCGACCUGAGAGGGUGAUCGGCCACAUUGGGACUGAGACACGGCCCAAACUCCUACGGGAGGCAGCAGUAGGGAAUCUUCCGCAAUGGACGAAAGUCUGACGGAGCAACGCCGCGUGAGUGAUGAAGGUCUUCGGAUCGUAAAACUCUGUUGUCAGGGAAGAACAAGUUGUGUUCUAACAGGACAUGACCUUGACGGUACCUGACCAGAAAGCCCCGGCUAACUACGUGCCAGCCGCCGCGGUAAUAC
rnacentral:rRNA from 1 species